GAUGAACGCUGGCGGCGUGCUUAACACAUGCAAGUCGAACGAACCUUCGGGUUAGUGGCGGACGGGUGAGUAACGCGUGAGAAUCUGCCCUCAGGAGGGGGAUAACGGCUGGAAACGGCCGCUAAUACCCCAUAUGCCGAAAGGUGAAACGAAAUUCGCCUGAGGAUGAGCUCGCGUCUGAUUAGCUAGUUGGUGGGGUAAAGGCCUACCAAGGCGUCGAUCAGUAGCUGGUCUGAGAGGAUGAUCAGCCACACUGGGACUGAGACACGGCCCAGACUCCUACGGGAGGCAGCAGUGGGGAAUUUUCCGCAAUGGGCGAAAGCCUGACGGAGCAACGCCGCGUGAGGGAAGAAGGCCUCUGGGCUGUAAACCUCUUUUCUCAAGGAAGAAGAUCUGACGGUACUUGAGGAAUAAGCCACGGCUAAUUCCGUG
rnacentral:rRNA from 1 species